GGAGCGUUCCGUACGCCUGUGAAGCGGUCUGGUAAUGGACCGUGGAGGUAUCGGAAGUGCGAAUGCAGACAUGAGUAGCGAUAAAGAGGGUGAGAUGCCCUCUCGCCGAAAGACCAAGGGUUCCUGCGCAAGGCUAAUCCGCGCAGGGUAAGCCGGCCCCUAAGACGAGCCCGAAGGGGGUAGUCGAUGGGAACCACGUUAAUAUUCGUGGGCCUGGAGGUGUGUGACGGAUGGCGUAAAUUGUCAGGGCUUAUUGGAUUGCUCCUGGCAGUGAAGUUGUCCCAGGAAAUAGCCCCUCCGUAUAGACCGUACCCUAAACCGACACAGGUGGACUGGUAGAGAAUACCAAGGCGCUUGAGAGAACCACAUUUAAGGAACUCGGCAAAAUACCUCCGUAAGUUCGCGAGAAGGAGGCCCGAUUGGUGCGCAAGCAUUGGUCGGGGGCACAAACCAGGGGGUGGCGACUGUUUACUAAAAACACAGGGCUCUGCGAAGCCGUAAGGCGACGUAUAGGGUCUGACGCCUGCCCGGUGCCGGAAGGUUAAAAGGAGAUGUGCAAGCAUUGAAUUGAAGCCCCGGUAAACGGCGGCCGUAACGAUAACGGUCCUAAGGUAGCG
rnacentral:rRNA from 1 species